AGCCAUAAAGGUGGAGGAGUAGUCGAGUAUCGCGUAAAAGAAACAGAAAUCUCCCGUCUCGUUGUCUCCUCCGCUCCUUGCGCCGCCGCCAAGAGGAGUCGCGGCUGAACAGGGGAGGGGCGGCGAUCGAGCAGAGCAGGGGAGGGAAUCCUGGUGAUGUAACAAAAGUGGUCACCAGUGCCUGCGCAAAAUCUCGUCUGUUUGUAUAUGGUAUUAAUAAGCAGCUUCAGUGCCUGGCUGAUCCUUGGGGUGAAUGGAAGGCAACAACCUACCCUCUGGAAGCUUGAUGCGUUCUAACUCUGGGCAAAUGCAUGCUCCAAAUCCUGGAAAGCAGGGCUUUGACCAUACUCAGAUGCCUGGCAAUUUAUCGAUGCAUGUAAACCAGUCUACAGAUUCUGAUCACUUGUCAGAAUUUCAAUUCGGAGAGCUUGGAAAGGUUGACCACCACCACCACCAUCACCAUCGUCAACACGCCAAGAACGGCAUGAGUGAUGAUGAGGAACAUGGUGUCAACGAGGAUGCCACUGAUAGCCAGAGCGGCAAGGGAAAGAAGGGCGCUGCAUGGCAGCGGAUGAAGUGGACUGAUUCAAUGGUCAAGCUUUUAAUUACUGCAGUAUCUUACACUGGGGAGGAUCCAGGAGCUGAUUCAGGAGCUGGGAAGAGAAACUCUGCAAUAAUGCAGAAAAAGGGCAAGUGGAAGGCAAUAUCAAAGGUCAUGGGUGAGCGAGGCUGCAGUGUAUCACCGCAGCAAUGUGAAGAUAAAUUCAAUGAUCUCAAUAAGAGAUACAAAAGACUUACAGAUAUCCUUGGCCGGGGUACAGCUUGCAAGAUUGUGGAGAAUCAUGCUCUGCUGGAUUGCAUGAGUAAUCUGUCUGACAAGAUGAAAGAUGAUGCGAGGAAGAUACUGAGUUCAAAGCACUUGUUCUACGAGGAGAUGUGCUCCUACCAUAAUAACAAUCGAGUGAGUUUGCCUGAAGAUCCUGCCCUUCAGCGUUCACUGCAGCUUGCCCUUAGAUGUAAAGAUGAGCAUGAUCUGAGGAGGGGAACAAGCGGAGAUGCCGAUGAAGAUGAUCAAAGUGUAGACUCUGAUUCCGAGGAGGAGAAUGAUGAGGAAAAUUACACAUUACAAGGUGAUAAGAGUGCCCUGCCCAUGCAUAAAAGAUUGAGGCUUAUGACAGAUCAGGAGGAUGUGGGUUUUGGCAACUCUUCCAGCUCACAUGGAUGUAGCAGGAGGUCUGAUUCCCAUGGCAUAUCACUGGAUAUCAACAAAGCAUUUCCUGAUGGAACCAACUUGGCUUUGGCGCAAAAGGAUUUGGCUACACAAUCUGCAGAUCUUGAGGAACAAAGGUUGCAGAUUGAAGUCCAGGCAGUCUAUCUUGCAAAACAACGGCUCAAAUGGGAGCGCUUCAGUAAAAAUAAGGAUAGAGAACUGGAACAGAUGAGGUUAGAGAAUGAAAAAAUGAGGCUUGAGAAUAAGCGCUUGGAGCUGGAGGUAAGGCACAAAGAGUUAGAGCUUGAACUCAAGCAAAAAGGCAGUGGCAAUCAUGCAUGACAUAUUUUUAACCAAUCAAGGCUGACUUGUAAGAUGCAGUGGGCCAAUGCUGGAGUGUGAGGCAACAGCCGACAGGGAGAGGGGACUGAUUAGGCAAGCAUAUAUCUGUCCGUCUGUGUCGCUGAUGGCUUCUGUUGUUCGAGUAGACUGACGCAAGAAGGUUAAGGUUCAGCAUACUUUUUUUGUUCUGCUUUUUUUCCCUACAUUAUUUGUGCUAGUGAGCUUGAUUUGUACCAUAACUCUUAUUCUUCAGUGAGCUUGCUAACCACACAUACUCAGAAGAUCAUGUUAUAUGCUGUUAAUGUUGUCAAUUGUCAUCAUUGUCGACCUACUGUUUAUGUAUAAUGACAAUGUCUGAUUGCAUCCAUAAUCUGAGGUGACAUUUUCUUCA